UUAAAUGUGCGAACUGGUAAUG
rnacentral:miRNA from 1 species